rnacentral:lncRNA from 1 species
AUUUAUUGCAAAAAAUGUGGAAUAUAACAAAGUGUAAAGGCCUUCUGUCUUGAGCUCGUAUUACUGCUGUUCACUGAUGUAUUGUAAAAGCGUAAAACCGGACGUGACCCAAAUGUCUAUCAAAGGAGACUGAUGAGAGAAAUAAACGGAUUUGUUCACACAACGGCUUCUACAGCAAAGAAACAGAAGGUAGCUCCAAGUGCUCUGAAAUGGAAAGGUAUGCAGGAUUUCCUGUUAGGUUAAAACAGAACGAAGCAAAAACCGAGGUUGCGCAAUGAUACAUAUAGAACAGUCUCAUAGUUGUAUACAUAGUUACACAGAGGAAACAAAGAUCUGGAAAGAUGUGUAGUUUGCACCUGUUACCAUUGGUUAGCUCUGGGGUGGACGGAGAAGGGAGAAGUUUUAAGAUUCUUUAUAUAAUACACUUAUUUAAUAUCUAUCUAUGUGCUAAGUUGUAUUACAUUUGUUGUUUUUUAAAGAGAUCCUUUUAAACAGAGAAGGGAGAACUCCCUCAAAUCCCAAUUGCACUACAAAGAGAAACCAACAUGUUGGUUAUUUUUAUAGCAUAUAAGUUUAUAUACCGUAUUAAUAAUGUAUAGCUAUAUAGCCUGCUUUUUCCACUUAGCACAUUUCAUAAUUUUUGUAAUAUUAAAUAUUCCUUAAAUAUAAUUGUUAAUGGUUGCAGACUAUUCAUGUAUGCUAUAAUUUAUUAAUCCUUAUUGAGAACAUUUAGGGUUUUCUUCCCAAUUUUUCACAUAUUUCAAGAUGAGAUAAAACUCUUAAAUAAUUAUAUUCCUGAUUAAUUAAAUUCCUAGAAAAAUUCGUGAGUUGAAGACUAUGAACAAAUAAAUUUAAGGCUUUUUUUUUUUUAAGAGAGGGAGUAUUGCUGUGUUGCCCAGGUUGGUCUCAAACUCCUGGGCUCACAUGAUCCUCCUGCUUCAGCCUCUGGGGUAGCUGGGACUACAGGCCACUGCACCAGACUUUAACACUCUUGGGCCAGGCACGGUGGCUCAUGCCUGUAAUCCCAGCACUUUGGGAGGCUGAGGUGGGCGGAUCACCUGAGGUCAGGAGUUUGAAACCAGCCUGACCAACAUGGGGAAACCCCGUCUCUACUAAAAGUACAAAAUUAGCCGGACGUGGUGGCACAUGCCUGUAAUCCCAGCUACUCGGGAGGCUGAGGCAGGAGAAUCGCUUGAACCCGGGAGGCAGAGGUUGCGGUGAGCCGAGAUCGCGCCAUUGCACUCCAGC